rnacentral:rRNA from 1 species
UACGUAUGUCCCGAGCGUUAUCCGGAUUUAUUGGGCGUAAAGCGAGCGCAGACGGUUUAUUAAGUCUGAUGUGAAAGCCCGGAGCUCAACUCCGGAAUGGCAUUGGAAACUGGUUAACUUGAGUGCAGUAGAGGUAAGUGGAACUCCAUGUGUAGCGGUGGAAUGCGUAGAUAUAUGGAAGAACACCAGUGGCGAAGGCGGCUUACUGGACUGCAACUGACGUUGAGGCUCGAAAGUGUGGGUAGCAAAC